UACGGAGGGGGCGAGCGUUAUUCGGAAUUAUUGGGCGUAAAGGGCGCGUAGGCGGCUGUACAAGUCAAAGGUGAAAUCCCUCGGCUCAACCGAGGAACUGCGUCCGAUACUGGUGGGCUUGAAUCCGGGAGAGGGAUGUGGAAUUCCAGGUGUAGCGGUGAAAUGCGUAGAUAUCUGGAGGAACACCGGUGGCGAAGGCGGCAUCCUGGACCGGUAUUGACGCUGAGGCGCGAAAGCUAGGGGAGCAAACGGG
rnacentral:rRNA from 1 species